AAAAAACCAAAACAGAUCCACAGUAUUAUGGGAGCAAAUCAGAGGUACUCUGAGUUCACUGUUAAUGUCUGGAAAGGUAUAUGCAGCUGUGUUUUUUCUCUACUUGUGUGUUCAGCCCAUUUUUGUUACCCUUUGGUUUGACAGACCUUCAAAGGCCUUCAUUCGCAUUGGAUAUUCAGAUUUCUCACUCUGGAAUUCAAGCAAUAGGCAGCACAUGGUGGUAAUCGGUCAGACUCUGGAGCCAGAUUCUUCAAAUCCUCUACUCAGAUAUGUGACCUCUAUGUAAGUUUUUUAAAAAUUUGUAUUAUCUUUUAACCAGCAAAACUAGGAUACUACCAACCUUAUUGGAUUGUUGUGGGGAUUAAAUGAGUUAAUAAGAAAGUGCUUGGGAAAGUGCCUGGCAUAUAAUGGGCAUUUGAGACAUUAUCAUUACCUGGUUCUGGUCUGCCAAGAAUGUAAACCCCAGAAGGGCAGGAAUUUUUGUCUAUUUUGUUGCUUACUGUAUUCCCAGGGCCUAGAAUAGUCCCUGGCACAUAUUAGAUACUCAAAUUAUUUGCUGAAUGAGUUAAUCCAUUAUAUAUUUAUUUAUAGCUCAGCCAAACUAUAAUACUCCCUGAUAUGGUUUGGCUCUGUGUCCCCACCCAAAUCUCAUCUCAAAUUGUAAUCCCUAUGUGUUGAGGGAGGGACCUGGUGGGAGGUGUUUAAAUCAUAGGGGCAAUUUCCCCCAUGCUGUUCUCAUGAUAGUGAGGGAUUUCUCACGAGAUCUGAUGGAUUUAAAAGUGGCAGUUUCCCCUGCACUCUGUCUCUCUCCUGCUGCCAUGUAAGAUGUACCUUGCUUCCCCUUCACCUUCUGCCAUGACUGUAAGUUUCCAAUUCCAGAGGCCUCC
rnacentral:lncRNA from 1 species